GACGAACGCUGGCGGCGUGCUUAACACAUGCAAGUCGAACGGAAAGGCCCUGCUUUUGUGGGGUGCUCGAGUGGCGAACGGGUGAGUAACACGUGAGUAACCUGCCCUUGACUUUGGGAUAACUUCAGGAAACUGGGGCUAAUACCGGAUCGGAGCUCCUGCUGCAUGGUGGGGGUUGGAAAGUUUCGGCGGUUGGGGAUGGACUCGCGGCUUAUCAGCUUGUUGGUGGGGUAGUGGCUUACCAAGGCUUUGACGGGUAGCCGGCCUGAGAGGGUGACCGGCCACAUUGGGACUGAGAGACGGCCCAGACUCGUACGGUAGGCAGCAGUGGGGAAUAUUGCACAAUGGGCGGAAGCCUGAUGCAGCAACGCCGCGUGCGGGAUGACGGCCUUCGGGUUGUAAACCGCUUUCGCCUGUGACGAAGCGGGAGUGACGGUAAUGGGUAAAGAAGCACCGGCUAACUACGUG
rnacentral:rRNA from 1 species